rnacentral:lncRNA from 1 species
AUGCCGAUUUUUCGCCCCAACUUAACAAAACUGGCUCCGCUGGAAAAUUUGCUACCAGAAACUAGGGUCCUUUUACCCGUGGACGGGCACAAAUGAUGAUGCCAACUGGUUUUUCUCCACAAUAAUGAAAUGUGACAGGAACUCAGUAACGUUGUCAGUGGAGAUGCAUGAAAAAAAGCUCCUAUUUUUCCCCCUCUUCGCGGACAUUGUUGAAAAUAGCGGAAAUGAAUUUUUCAAGCUCAAUAGAAAGCUUAGAGGCCGAAUAUUCCUAAAAUUGCCGUGCACCUUGGAUGAUUUUUUACAUUUGGAUGAAAAUAGUGCCCAGCCCUGAAAUUUCAGCGCGCAAUGAUAACUUUAUUUACCCGACGUUUUUCAAGACCCACUUGGCAGAGGCUAAGCAAUACCGAGGGAAAUGCUUUAUGAAGAAAUAUGGGGGGAGCGCCUUUUAACUCAGUUACAAAUCUUUCCCUUUUUACCUCGUAGCUUUCUCAUGUUGCUCACUUGUGACUGCUCACGACGCAGCCAAAUCACGUAGGAUACGAUGGAAUUUUUACUCGGAAACACUUCUGUUUCUGCGGGUAGGAGGGGGGGGGGGGGUAUUUCUCGAAUUCCUGCGUCACUUUAUUUUUCCGUUUCAACAUUUAAUAAUUUUUUCUUUUAACUUGCUCACAAUCAGAGUCAACUUAAUUUAGAAAUCCCUUCCUCUAGGUCUUGUAGAAUUUAAAAUUGGAAAAUUGUGAUUCUGUUGUCUGUGAUUGGUCCUAUGUAGGGUAAACGUCAUGUUUACCCAUCUAAUAGACGUCGUCUUUGCCGUGGGAAAAUAUUACAUCGCGUUAAAUUUUAUUUUAAUGGUGAAUUAUCACCUUUGUAUGUGUGUUUUCCCUUGCUACAUCCAAGUGCACAUUUUUAAUUAAAUUUUACCAUGGAUAUCCUCUCCGAGCUGGCACCUCCGCCUUGGUCACCCGAUCACUGCAGCAUCCCGGUUACCCCUCGCAGCUCGUGAUCGGACACCCCUCCCCCCCUCCCCCUCCCCCGUCAUGCAGCGCCUUGCAUUCUCGGGCCGGCAAUCCCGAUUUUAGGGCCUUUCAGUCAGCUUUUAUCUCGCGCCAUCGCCGGCCUCGCCAAUCGCCGCGUUGGAGCGCUUUUAAUAAAGUCCGGUCUCCCGGAAAAGAUGGCGCUUUCACCUCAUCUUUCUUUUUUUUUGCUCUUUCUUUAGACAAUGGUCAUUUCGAGAGAGUUUCCCAUCGUCAGGUCUUUGAUCAUACUCCUAUGCCAGAUUCAGAUGGGGAACUUUCCCGCAAUAACCAUCGUAUAAAGGAGUAAAAAAAAAACUAGGAGAUCAUGAGACAAGAUAACAUUUUCCAAAAAAUUAU